AAAUAAACCAACUACUAUAGUUGCUCUCACAGAAGAAUCUAUUCCUGUCUCUAACUUUGUUAGAUAUGAUGCUGGCAGCCCAUGUUACUCCAGUAUGUUAGACUGGGGUGUGAACUACAUCCAGAAGGCGCAGAGUACAGAUUUCAGAAGACAAAUGGUUCACCAGCUGAGAUAUGCAUUCAGGAUGCUGCCAUCCUAUGGCAAAUAGCUAAUUGGCUGCUAUCACCCACAGGGUGCCUGAACAGAAAUCAAGGGAAGGACACAUGUUUCAUUUCUGCCUGGUGGAAAGCUGUUUGAGGGGGGAUGAAAUAAUACACUGUGUUACUACAGGUUUAUAAUUCAAUAAAGAACUAUCCCUUUUCUACUGAC